rnacentral:rRNA from 1 species
AUUGAACGCUGGCGGCAUGCUUUACACAUGCAAGUCGAACGGCAGCGCGGGCUUCGGCCUGGCGGCGAGUGGCGAACGGGUGAGUAAUACAUCGGAAAGUGCCCAGUAGUGGGGGAUAGCUCGGCGAAAGCCGGAUUAAUACCGCAUACGACCUGAGGGUGAAAGCGGGGGAUCUUCGGACCUCGCGCUAUUGGAGCGGCCGAUGGCAGAUUAGCUAGUUGGUGGGGUAAAGGCCUACCAAGGCGACGAUCUGUAGCUGGUCUGAGAGGACGACCAGCCACACUGGGACUGAGACACGGCCCAGACUCCUACGGGAGGCAGCAGUGGGGAAUUUUGGACAAUGGGCGAAAGCCUGAUCCAGCAAUGCCGCGUGUGUGAUGAAGGCCUUCGGGUUGUAAAGCACUUUUGGCGGGAACGAAAAGGACUGUGCCAAUACCACGGUUCGAUGACGGUACCCGCAGAAUAAGCACCGGCUAACUACGUG